AGUGUGCUGUUAGCUUAUUUAAAGAUUAAAAGUCUUUUCGGAAACACUCUCAUUUGCUGUUUUAGAAAGAACGUGGUACUUGAACAAGAAGAAAGCUGCGGCCAUUUUAACAAAUUUGGUAGUUUUACAUUUUAAAAGUUUGAAGAUAUAAUAAUACUAUGCGCUGAUGUAGUUGAAGGCUAGGGCAAGUCAUACCUAUUGAUUGAAGAUAGUUUACUGUGAACUCAUGUGAUCAAAGGUCCAGUUAAUUUAAUACUACAUGUAUUGUACGAAGAUUUAUAACCAAGUACUGAUGUAAUUAAAGGUCCAUUCAAUUUAUAUUGU